CGCGGCCUAUCAGCUUGUUGGUGGGGUGAUGGCCUACCAAGGCGACGACGGGUAGCCGGCCUGAGAGGGUGAUCGGCCACAUUGGGACUGAGAUACGGCCCAGACUCCUACGGGAGGCAGCAGUGGGGAAUAUUGCACAAUGGGCGGAAGCCUGAUGCAGCGACGCCGCGUGAGGGAUGACGGCCUUCGGGUUGUAAACCUCUUUCAGCAGGGACGAAGCGUAAGUGACGGUACCUGCAGAAGAAGCACCGGCUAACUAUGUGCCAGCAGCCGCGGUAAUACGUAGGGUGCGAGCGUUGUCCGGAAUUACUGGGCGUAAAGAGCUCGUAGGCGGUUUGUCACGUCGUCUGUGAAAUCCUAGGGCUUAACCCUGGACGUGCAGGCGGUACGGGCUGACUUGAGUACUACGGGGGAGACUGGAAUUUCUGGUGUAGCGGUGGAAUGCACAGAUAUCAGGAAGAACACCGAUGGCGAAGGCAGGUCUCUGGGUAGUAACUGACGCUGAGGAGCGAAAGCAUGGGUAGCGAACAGGAUUAGAUACCCUGGUAGUCCAUGCCGUAAACGGUGGGCGCUAGGUGUGGGGUUCCUUCCACGGGCUCCGCGCCGUAGCUAACGCAUUAAGCGCCCCGCCUGGGGAGUACGG
rnacentral:rRNA from 1 species